ensembl:snoRNA SNORA74 Small nucleolar RNA SNORA74
UCCAGUGGUAGUCAGCUGUCCAGGGCAGCGCAGUGCCUGUGAUGGUGUUACACUGCUGGGAGAUAAACGUCAGUCACUUCUUCUGGCUGUUGUCACCGUUCUGGAGACAGCUGAAACCAAGGAGAAGUGGCCUUGUGCUUCCAUGAGAGUGUGCUAAGGGCUUGCUAUCCCUCUAGUGCUAGUCCGGAAGCAUACAUG